rnacentral:rRNA from 1 species
CCUACGGGAGGCAGCAGUGGGGAAUUUUGGACAAUGGGCGCAAGCCUGAUCCAGCCAUGCCGCGUGCGGGAAGAAGGCCUUCGGGUUGUAAACCGCUUUUGUCAGGGAAGAAACGCUCUGGGCUAAUACCUCGGGGUAAUGACGGUAACCUGAAGAAUAAGCACCGGCUAACUACGUGCCAGCAGCCGCGGUAAUACGUAGGGUGCAAGCGUUAAUCGGAAUUACUGGGCGUAAAGCGUGCGCAGGCGGCUAUGCAAGACAGAUGUGAAAUCCCCGGGCUCAACCUGGGAACUGCAUUUGUGACUGCAUAACUGGAGUACGGCAGAGGGGGAUGGAAUUCCGCGUGUAGCAGUGAAAUGCGUAGAUAUGCGGAGGAACACCGAUGGCGAAGGCAAUCCCCUGGGCCUGUACUGACGCUCAUGCACGAAAGCGUGGGGAGCAAACAGGAUUAGAUACCCUGGUAGUCCACGCCCUAAACGAUGUCAACUGGUUGUUGGGAGGGUUUCUUCUCAGUAACGUAGCUAACGCGUGAAGUUGACCGCCUGGGGAUUACGGCCGCAAGGGUUUGAAAACGUCAAAGUAGUAGUACGGACGNGAGAGACGACGACGACGACGACGAGGAGGAGG